rnacentral:rRNA from 1 species
AGCGUACACGGUGGAUGCCCUGGCAGUCAGAGGCGAUGAAGGACGUGCUAAUCUGCGAUAAGCGUCGGUAAGGUGAUAUGAACCGUUAUAACCGGCGAUUUCCGAAUGGGGAAACCCAGUGUGAUUCGUCACACUAUCAUUAACUGAAUCCAUAGGUUAAUGAGGCGAACCGGGGGAACUGAAACAUCUAAGUACCCCGAGGAAAAGAAAUCAACCGAGAUUCCCCCAGUAGCGGCGAGCGAACGGGGAGGAGCCCAGAGCCUGAAUCAGUGUGUGUGUUAGUGGAAGCGUCUGGAAAGGCGUGCGAUACAGGGUGACAGCCCCGUACACAAAAAUGCACAUGCUGUGAGCUCGAUGAGUAGGGCGGGACACGUGGUAUCCUGUCUGAAUAUGGGGGGACCAUCCUCCAAGGCUAAAUACUCCUGACUGACCGAUAGUGAACCAGUACCGUGAGGGAAAGGCGAAAAGAACCCCGGCGAGGGGAGUGAAAAAGAACCUGAAACCGUGUACGUACAAGCAGUGGGAGCCUCUUUAUGGGGUGACUGCGUACCUUUUGUAUAAUGGGUCAGCGACUUAUAUUCUGUAGCAAGGUUAACCGAAUAGGGGAGCCGAAGGGAAACCGAGUCUUAACUGGGCGUUAAGUUGCAGGGUAUAGACCCGAAACCCGGUGAUCUAGCCAUGGGCAGGUUGAAGGUUGGGUAACACUAACUGGAGGACCGAACCGACUAAUGUUGAAAAAUUAGCGGAUGACUUGUGGCUGGGGGUGAAAGGCCAAUCAAACCGGGAGAUAGCUGGUUCUCCCCGAAAGCUAUUUAGGUAGCGCCUCGUGAAUUCAUCUCCGGGGGUAGAGCACUGUUUCGGCAAGGGGGUCAUCCCGACUUACCAACCCGAUGCAAACUGCGAAUACCGGAGAAUGUUAUCACGGGAGACACACGGCGGGUGCUAACGUCCGUCGUGAAGAGGGAAACAACCCAGACCGCCAGCUAAGGUCCCAAAGUCAUGGUUAAGUGGGAAACGAUGUGGGAAGGCCCAGACAGCCAGGAUGUUGGCUUAGAAGCAGCCAUCAUUUAAAGAAAGCGUAAUAGCUCACUGGUCGAGUCGGCCUGCGCGGAAGAUGUAACGGGGCUAAACCAUGCACCGAAGCUGCGGCAGCGACACUAUGUGUUGUUGGGUAGGGGAGCGUUCUGUAAGCCGUUGAAGGUGUGCUGUGAGGCAUGCUGGAGGUAUCAGAAGUGCGAAUGCUGACAUAAGUAACGAUAAAGCGGGUGAAAAGCCCGCUCGCCGGAAGACCAAGGGUUCCUGUCCAACGUUAAUCGGGGCAGGGUGAGUCGACCCCUAAGGCGAGGCCGAAAGGCGUAGUCGAUGGGAAACAGGUUAAUAUUCCUGUACUUGGUGUUACUGCGAAGGGGGGACGGAGAAGGCUAUGUUGGCCGGGCGACGGUUGUCCCGGUUUAAGCGUGUAGGCUGAUUUUCCAGGCAAAUCCGGAGAAUCAAGGCUGAGGCGUGAUGACGAGGCACUACGGUGCUGAAGCAACAAAUGCCCUGCUUCCAGGAAAAGCCUCUAAGCAUCAGGUAACAUCAAAUCGUACCCCAAACCGACACAGGUGGUCAGGUAGAGAAUACCAAGGCGCUUGAGAGAACUCGGGUGAAGGAACUAGGCAAAAUGGUGCCGUAACUUCGGGAGAAGGCACGCUGAUAUGUAGGUGAAGCGACUUGCUCGUGGAGCUGAAAUCAGUCGAAGAUACCAGCUGGCUGCAACUGUUUAUUAAAAACACAGCACUGUGCAAACACGAAAGUGGACGUAUACGGUGUGACGCCUGCCCGGUGCCGGAAGGUUAAUUGAUGGGGUCAGCCGCAAGGCGAAGCUCUUGAUCGAAGCCCCGGUAAACGGCGGCCGUAACUAUAACGGUCCUAAGGUAGCGAAAUUCCUUGUCGGGUAAGUUCCGACCUGCACGAAUGGCGUAAUGAUGGCCAGGCUGUCUCCACCCGAGACUCAGUGAAAUUGAACUCGCUGUGAAGAUGCAGUGUACCCGCGGCAAGACGGAAAGACCCCGUGAACCUUUACUAUAGCUUGACACUGAACAUUGAGCCUUGAUGUGUAGGAUAGGUGGGAGGCUUUGAAGUGUGGACGCCAGUCUGCAUGGAGCCGACCUUGAAAUACCACCCUUUAAUGUUUGAUGUUCUAACGUGGACCCGUGAUCCGGGUUGCGGACAGUGUCUGGUGGGUAGUUUGACUGGGGCGGUCUCCUCCUAAAGAGUAACGGAGGAGCACGAAGGUUGGCUAAUCCUGGUCGGACAUCAGGAGGUUAGUGCAAUGGCAUAAGCCAGCUUGACUGCGAGCGUGACGGCGCGAGCAGGUGCGAAAGCAGGUCAUAGUGAUCCGGUGGUUCUGAAUGGAAGGGCCAUCGCUCAACGGAUAAAAGGUACUCCGGGGAUAACAGGCUGAUACCGCCCAAGAGUUCAUAUCGACGGCGGUGUUUGGCACCUCGAUGUCGGCUCAUCACAUCCUGGGGCUGAAGUAGGUCCCAAGGGUAUGGCUGUUCGCCAUUUAAAGUGGUACGCGAGCUGGGUUUAGAACGUCGUGAGACAGUUCGGUCCCUAUCUGCCGUGGGCGCUGGAGAACUGAGGGGGGCUGCUCCUAGUACGAGAGGACCGGAGUGGACGCAUCACUGGUGUUCGGGUUGUCAUGCCAAUGGCACUGCCCGGUAGCUAAAUGCGGAAGAGAUAAGUGCUGAAAGCAUCUAAGCACGAAACUUGCCCCGAGAUGAGUUCU